CAGUCGCCGCGGUAAUACGAAGGGUGCAAGCGUUAAUCGGAAUUACUGGGCGUAAAGCGUGCGUAGGCGGUGAGUUAAGUCUGCUGUGAAAUCCCCGGGCCCAACCUGGGAAUGGCAGUGGAUACUGGCUCGCUAGAGUGUGUCAGAGGAUGGUGGAAUUCCCGGUGUAGCGGUGAAAUGCGUAGAGAUCGGGAGGAACAUCAGUGGCGAAGGCGGCCAUCUGGGACAACACUGACGCUGAGGCACGAAAGCGUGGGGAGCAAACAGGAUUAGAUACCCCAGUAGUCCCUGUCUCUUAUAA
rnacentral:rRNA from 1 species